GAGGGGAGUGAAAAAGAACCUGAAACCGUGUACGUACAAGCAGUGGGAGCACGCUUAGGCGUGUGACUGCGUACCUUUUGUAUAAUGGGUCAGCGACUUAUAUUCUGUAGCAAGGUUAACCGAAUAGGGGAGCCGAAGGGAAACCGAGUCUUAACUGGGCGUUAAGUUGCAGGGUAUAGACCCGAAACCCGGUGAUCUAGCCAUGGGCAGGUUGAAGGUUGGGUAACACUAACUGGAGGACCGAACCGACUAAUGUUGAAAAAUUAGCGGAUGACUUGUGGCUGGGGGUGAAAGGCCAAUCAAACCGGGAGAUAGCUGGUUCUCCCCGAAAGCUAUUUAGGUAGCGCCUCGUGAAUUCAUCUCCGGGGGUAGAGCACUGUUUCGGCAAGGGGGUCAUCCCGACUUACCAACCCGAUGCAAACUGCGAAUACCGGAGAAUGUUAUUACGGGAGACACACGGCGGGUGCUAACGUCCGUCGUGAAGAGGGAAACAACCCAGACCGCCAGCUAAGGUCCCAAAGUCAUGGUUAAGUGGGAAACGAUGUGGGAAGGCCCAGACAGCCAGGAUGUUGGCUUAGAAGCAGCCAUCAUUUAAAGAAAGCGUAAUAGCUCACUGGUCGAGUCGGCCUGCGCGGAAGAUGUAACGGGGCUAAACCAUGCACCGAAGCUGCGGCAGCGACGCUUAUGCGUUGUUGGGUAGGGGAGCGUUCUGUAAGCCUGUGAAGGUGUGCUGUGAGGUAUGCUGGAGGUAUCAGAAGUGCGAAUGCUGACAUAAGUAACGAUAAAGCGGGUGAAAAGCCCGCUCGCCGGAAGACCAAGGGUUCCUGUCCAACGUUAAUCGGGGCAGGGUGAGUCGACCCCUAAGGCGAGGCCGAAAGGCGUAGUCGAUGGGAAACAGGUUAAUAUUCCUGUACUUGGUGUUACUGCGAAGGGGGGACGGAGAAGGCUAUGUUGGCCGGGCGACGGUUGUCCCGGUUUAAGCGUGUAGGCUGGUUUUCCAGGCAAAUCCGGAAAAUCAAGGCCGAGGCGUGAUGACGAGGCACUACGGUGCUGAAGCAACAAAUGCCCUGCUUCCAGGAAAAGCCUCUAAGCAUCAGGUAACAUCAAAUCGUACCCCAAACCGACACAGGUGGUCAGGUAGAGAAUACCAAGGCGCUUGAGAGAACUCGGGUGAAGGAACUAGGCAAAAUGGUGCCGUAACUUCGGGAGAAGGCACGCUGAUACGUAGGUGAAGCGACUUGCUCGUGGAGCUGAAAUCAGUCGAAGAUACCAGCUGGCUGCAACUGUUUAUUAAAAACACAGCACUGUGCAAACACGAAAGUGGACGUAUACGGUGUGACGCCUGCCCGGUGCCGGAAGGUUAAUUGAUGGGGUUAGCGCAAGCGAAGCUCUUGAUCGAAGCCCCGGUAAACGGCGGCCGUAACUAUAACGGUCCUAAGGUAGCGAAAUUCCUUGUCGGGUAAGUUCCGACCUGCACGAAUGGCGUAAUGAUGGCCAGGCUGUCUCCACCCGAGACUCAGUGAAAUUGAACUCGCUGUGAAGAUGCAGUGUACCCGCGGCAAGACGGAAAGACCCCGUGAACCUUUACUAUAGCUUGACACUGAACAUUGAGCCUUGAUGUGUAGGAUAGGUGGGAGGCUUUGAAGUGUGGACGCCAGUCUGCAUGGAGCCGACCUUGAAAUACCACCCUUUAAUGUUUGAUGUUCUAACGUGGACCCGUGAUCCGGGUUGCGGACAGUGUCUGGUGGGUAGUUUGACUGGGGCGGUCUCCUCCUAAAGAGUAACGGAGGAGCACGAAGGUUGGCUAAUCCUGGUCGGACAUCAGGAGGUUAGUGCAAUGGCAUAAGCCAGCUUGACUGCGAGCGUGACGGCGCGAGCAGGUGCGAAAGCAGGUCAUAGUGAUCCGGUGGUUCUGAAUGGAAGGGCCAUCGCUCAACGGAUAAAAGGUACUCCGGGGAUAACAGGCUGAUACCGCCCAAGAGUUCAUAUCGACGGCGGUGUUUGGCACCUCGAUGUCGGCUCAUCACAUCCUGGGGCUGAAGUAGGUCCCAAGGGUAUGGCUGUUCGCCAUUUAAAGUGGUACGCGAGCUGGGUUUAGAACGUCGUGAGACAGUUCGGUCCCUAUCUGCCGUGGGCGCUGGAGAACUGAGGGGGGCUGCUCCUAGUACGAGAGGACCGGAGUGGACGCAUCACUGGUGUUCGGGUUGUCAUGCCAAUGGCACUGCCCGGUAGCUAAAUGCGGAAGAGAUAAGUGCUGAAAGCAUCUAAGCACGAAACUUGCCCCGAGAUGAGUUCUCCCUGACCCUUUAAGGGUCCUGAAGGAACGUUGAAGACGACGACGUUGAUAGGCCGGGUGUGUAAGCGCAGCGAUGCGUUGAGCUAACCGGUACUAAUGAACCGUGAGGCUUAACCUU
rnacentral:rRNA from 1 species